rnacentral:misc_RNA from 1 species
GUUCUUACCCCCACUCUCAACAACCUAAAGUAAAAAACACAUACCAUAAGAUAAAAUAAUUAAAAAAAAUAUGCAAGUUUUUUUUUUUUACAUUCUUUUUCAAUUACAAACAUAAGUUGCAGAACUAAUGCAUAAUGCAUUACAAAUAAUUUAACAUGACUCGCCUCAUUUAAAAGUGAGAAUCUGAACAGAUGCCAUCUUAGCAUUAGCAAACACAACAUUUCACAAAAUAAUGCACCAUCGUGCUAAACAAAAUUGAUUAGUUAAUGCAGAAAAAGCACACUUGAAUAUUAGAUAGCCAAACCAAUGCAUUAGAAAAGUUACAAGCAACUAUUCUCAUUUGAAAUGCAACAUUGCGCAUGAUAAAGCUCCAUCUGACUUUAUCAACACAUUAAACAAACUUGUUUAUGUGAUGCAGAAAAAGCAGCCACAGAGAUUAUUCAUACAUAGAUCAUCAACCAAAUCAUUAGAUUAUUCAUUUAAUGCCCAGCUACAUGUCUCAUGAAUCAACUUGAGGCACUUGGUUGAAUAAUUAUCUACCAGACAUGCUGUUCUUCAGCUGCUAGCAUUCCUUUCCAAAUGUCUUAAUAGGAGAAUAUU